GCAAGUCGAACGAAGUUUUUCUUUCGGGAGGAACUUAGUGGCGGACGGGUGAGUAACGCGUGGGUAACCUGCCCUGUACAGGGGGACAACAGCUGGAAACGGCUGCUAAUACCGCAUAAGCCCUUAGCACUGCAUUGUGCAUAGGGAAAAGGAGUAAUCCGGUACAGGAUGGACCCGCGUCUGAUUAGCCAGUUGGCAGGGUAACGGCCUACCAAAGCGACGAUCAGUAGCCGACCUGAGAGGGUGACC
rnacentral:rRNA from 1 species